AAGUCGUAACAAGGUUUCCGUAGGUGAACCUGCGGAAGGAUCAUUAUUGAAUGAAUUUAUGGAGCUGAUGCAGGCCUUCUAGCCUAGCACGCUUCAAUUCUUUCAGCUUCAUUUCCUGUGCACCUUUGCGUAAAUCUGAGAACCGUAGAGUACCUGUCGCCUUUUGAAGUGCGGAUGGAAAGGAUGCAUAUAUAUGCUCCUUUUGUUCUCUCUCAGUUCGGGUUUAUGAUUAUAUCAACUCUGAAUGUUUAGAAUGUAUUGCAUUGGACUUUGUCCUUUAAUAAAUAAUACAACUUUCAACAACGGAUCUCUUGGCUCUC
rnacentral:misc_RNA from 1 species